rnacentral:rRNA from 1 species
GAUGAACGCUAGCGGCAGGCUUAACACAUGCAAGUCGAGGGGCAGCACAGGUAGCAAUACUGGGUGGCGACCGGCAAAUGGGUGCGGAACACGUACGCAACUUACCCUAAACAGAUGAAUAGCCCUCGGAAACGGGGAUUAAUACAUCGUAAACUAUAAGAGUGGCAUCAUUUUUACAGAAUAGCUGAGGCGGUUUAGGAUGGGCGUGCGUCCCAUUAGCUAGUUGGUAAGGUAACGGCUUACCAAGGCGACGAUGGGUAACUGGUGUGAGAGCACGACCAGUCACACGGGAACUGAGACACGGGCCCGACUCCUACGGGAGGCAGCAGUGAGGAAUAUUGGUCAAUGGACUCAAGUCUGAACCAGCCAUGCCGCGUGAAGGAUGAAGGCGUUCUGCGUUGAAAACUUCUUUUAUCAGGGAAGAAACCUCAGUAUUCUUAUUGAGCCGACGGUACCUGAUGAAUAAGCACCGGCUAACUCCGUGCCAGCCGCCGCAGUAAGAC